GAUGAACGCUGGCGGCGUGCCUAAUACAUGCAAGUCGAGCGAACGGACGAGAAGCUUGCUUCUCUGAUGUUAGCGGCGGACGGGUGAGUAACACGUGGAUAACCUACCUAUAAGACUGGGAUAACUUCGGGAAACCGGAGCUAAUACCGGAUAAUGUUUUGAACCGCAUGGUUCAAAAGUGAAAGACGGUCUUGCUGUCACUUAUAGAUGGAUCCGCGCUGCAUUAGCUAGUUGGUAAGGUAACGGCUUACCAAGGCAACGAUGCAUAGCCGACCUGAGAGGGUGAUCGGCCACACUGGAACUGAGACACGGUCCAGACUCCUACGGGAGGCAGCAGUAGGGAAUCUUCCGCAAAGGGCGAAAGCCUGACGGAGCAACGCCGCGUGAGUGAUGAAGGUCUUCGGAUCGUAAAACUCUGUUAUUAGGGAAGAACAUAUGUGUAAGUAACUGUGCACAUCUUGACGGUACCUAAUCAGAAAGCCACGGCUAACUACGUG
rnacentral:rRNA from 1 species